rnacentral:lncRNA from 1 species
AAGCUACCAAUUAGCUUAUGAAGGUUUCAUUAUUUCGGGUCAAAUGGUACUUUACCAUUCCCAUGAGUAUAUAUAUCGUAUAUGCACUCAAUGUAGUCAUAAGGAUUUUCAUUCUUAUUUCUUUCGAAUUAAGAGGUGUAACUCUAUGACAUAGUCAUAAAGUUCAAACCAUUCAACUGAGACGGUUUAUAAAUCCUUCUCGACUACCUUGGAGCUUUUGAUAUAGGAACUAGGUUGUUAUAUUUGUUGAUUAUUAUCUUGUCUCUCAAAGAACCCAUUCUUUGAGUUCUAUCUCUCGUUCAUUUGCUUUUAGGCAAAUCACAUUGUAGGAUUACAAUGAACUAUCCAACAAAACAACAUUUGUUAAUUGGUUUAUAGAAGCGAUAUCCAAAAGUUAAUUUAAGGAUAUCCUACAAGAUUGUUAUCAAACAAAUAUUGUUUAUAAAGCACACACACCCCAAAUCUUAAUAUGUUUUUAAGAUUUGUCUUUCUUUCCAACUACAUCUUAUGGAGUCAUGAAAAUAUUGGAAGAUCUUCUAAUUUACAAUCAUAUUGUUUUUAGAAGUAUAUAUCCUAUAUAUGGGUAAUUGAUAAUAUCCAACGAACUAAAUCUUUAUUCAAGUUCGUUCUUCUCCUAAUGGAGAAAUCUAUUAUCUUAUGAUGCUUCUUUCCUUGAUAUCUUUCAAG